GAUGAAGAACGUAGCGAAAUGCGAUAAGUAAUGUGAAUUGCAGAAUUCAGUGAAUCAUCGAAUCUUUGAACGCACAUUGCGCCCGCCAGCAUUCUGGCGGGCAUGCCUGUCCGAGCGUCAUUUCAACCCUCGAAGGCCCGCCUCAGGGCCCUCGGUGUUGGGGGACGGCACACCAGCCGCCCCCGAAAUGCAGUGGCGACCCCCGCCGCAGCCUCCCCUGCGUAGUAGAAAACACCUCGCACUGGAGCGCGGAGAGCGGUCACGCCGUAAAACGCCCAACUUCUUAGAGUUGGCCUCGGAUCAGGUAGGAAUACCCGCUGAACUUAAGCAUAUCAAUAAGCGGAGGA
rnacentral:misc_RNA from 1 species